ACAACCACAGCCCGCAUUCCUCGAGUAAGGAGCUAUACUCUGCCAUGGUUUUGGAGCAAGAUAAUCUGGCCAGCCACAGGCUGGGGGAAGGCUGGUCCUUUCAAGGAGAGACGUGCAAAAGGAUGUGAAAUUAUCAGGGAAGAUGCAAGCAUUGGCUGUGUUAGCUCCCAGUUGCUCUCCUCACCCCUCUCAAGAUGGUCCUGAGAAAGCUCCCUUGCUGUCAAGAUCCAAUGCAAGAAUGUCUUCUCUUUUGACCAAAGCCUCCUUUUAUGCUCCCUUGGUCUGUGAGUGAUUCAAGCUGUCCAGUCCGGCCAGUUCCAUGACUCAAUGCCCUAGGGGAGCCCUGCGGAGUACUAUACCUCUGGGUCUAUUUGUGAACUGCCUGUCCUGACUUUGUGGGCACCUCAAGGACAGCCACCUCUGUCCUAGUCUUGAACCUUAGUCUGUGAACAUCAGGCCCUCAAGGCGGGCUCGGCUAUACUUUCCUGGCUCAGCACACAGAGAUGGUUUGAUGAAGACUCACAGCGAACCUUUCAGUGUUAUCCAUCCCACCCAAGACAGGAACCAACUUGAAAUGGGAGUGAAAACAUCACAGAGACUCGGGGGACCUUGAUUCGGUUGGCUAAACACUCUUCCUUGCUAAACCUCAGUUCAACCUAUGUUUAAACUGGAAAGAAUACCCGUUUCGCUGUGGGGUUAAAGGUCAAAGGAAUUAAGAUAUAAACAUGACUGUAAAUUGUUAAGAUCCUCAAGUAUUAGCAAGGUUUUUAUGAUUUUCGUGACAUUCUAAACCAUGUAGGUUAUCAUUUAUUAGUUUCCUUUAAAUAAAUCUUAGGCCAACUUACUUUUUAAAAAAAAAAAAAACCCAGAGCUUUCUAUUAAGCAAUACCAAAGGCAACCACAGAUUUGAUAUUUUACUGAUUGUUCUUCCUCAUUACACAUACAAACCAAUUCAUAGUCAGUCCUUUGUCAUUUGUGCAAGGCCAGAGUCACUGCCUCCCAACAUUAGACGACACCGAUUGCUAAACCUCAUUAUCUGUGGAAUUUGUCUUGGGUGAGCAACAAGAGCUGAAGGGUUCAUUGUGGCCUCUGACUUCCCAGCUCUCUUUCCUGCCCUCUCAGUGUCACUCUUAAUGGCUCACAGGUGGCAAGCAUGACCUCAUGUCUGCUUUGGGAUCACAGAAACAGUGACCGGUGCUCCGAGGCAAGAGCAGAGAUGGUUUGCUCCAAGUGGUUGACUGACAAGAGACCAGGGGAACCUUCAGGGGGGCCAGGAGUGACAGGCAGCUUUGUCAACAAUGCUGGGAGAGAAACAUCUCUCUAGCAAGAAUCUCUGAGCACGCUAACCAGACCACAGCUGAGCACCCCGGAAUCCACCUGCUCCAGGAAAAGUUUCCAUCUUCCAAAAGCUAUGGAUCCCAUAUCUUAAUUAGUUACUUCGGGUACACUGACAACAGAGCACCCCCAGCAAAGACAACAGUUGGGCUUUGGAUCAAGAACACAGGGUCUGCAUAGCCCAGAGCUGGCAUGGUUCCUGGGGUCUGGCCAAGAAGAAGUGACCACUGUCUUCCAGCCCAGGAGCCAUGAGCUGCAUGGAAAGAAUGUGAAUGAAGACACCAUUCUAAAUGUAGACUCAUGGGUGCUAUGUGAGCCACCGUGCUUUGAAUGGUCUAGAAAAACAAGGCUUGCUUGUCCGUCCACCAGGAACAUAAAUAAAGUUGUCCUCAGACAGUGUGUUACCAUGUCCCAUCCCUGCAAAUGACAGCUCAUAGCAGGAGAAGACUAUCUGCUUAAUGGUGGGAGCAAAAAUGGCCGAGCUGUGUCCCUGAUGCACGUGAUGAUCGCUAGCUUCAUCUUACAGUAACUUCAACCUGUGCCGUGACUGUGUUAAUUAGACAUGGUUAAAGUCUGGGAACAAGGGCCUUGCACAAUGGCUUCUAUAGUUGGUUUUUGGCACUCACAUCCCUGCAAAGAUUAUGAGGUAACUCAUCUGAUUCUUCUACCCUUGUGACCUGGACAUGGGUGACUUUUUUUUUUUUUUUUUGGCCAGAACUAAGAUUUCUUUGGGAAUCAUUUCUGUCAAUGUCUUUGGGAGCCUGGUGCAUCUUCCUGGCUUGAUAAUAAAAUGAAAAAGCUAGCCAGUAUAUACAGAACACUUACACUGUACCUCCUACCAUUCAGUGUUCUUACAUUAGUGAGCCACACACCACAUACCCUUAAGCUCAGCCUUUUGCUCCACCCCAUGAGCUGUUUGCUAUCCUGGAGCUUCAAGAGGAAGAGGGAAGAAAGUCAGACACUUCCACUGCCCUUAGUGAACUAUUGCUACUAGUUGGGCCAUACCCUCUAAAGGCUCCAUAGCCUUCAGAGUCAUUCCUCAUCUGGGCUUGCUGCUGGGUGAGUUCAAGGCUAGCUUGAGCGACUUCAUGAGCUACUGUCUCAAAAUUAAAACAAAGUAUAAAUUAAAGGAAGACUGGUGAUUUUGUUUAGUGAACAUGCCUAGCAUCCAUGAGGCCCCAGGUUUAAUCCCUAGCACAGGAGUCGGGGCAAGGUUGAGACAUACUGAACAGCUGGGGUAGAAUGCUCAAAACAUGAGCCUCUGUGGCACAUCUCAGAUCCAAACCAUAGUGCUCUUUUGGGAAUAUGAGAUCCGUGUGUACACAGAGGGACACUGACUGCUUAUGCUGGUUCAGUGUCUGGCACCGAGAGCUGAACUUAAAAGGAGUGCUUCAUUAGUAGCUUAAAAUCUGGAUGCAGCUCACAGACCCUGGUGGCAGAGGAUAUUUCCAUGGGGCUGCUGUUCUUCCUGUCUGGAUACAGUUGGGGGGUGUCCUAGUUGAUGGAGGGAAAUCUUGGCUUAAGGGUAAAAUAGGCCCCUUGAGGCUUAACCUUUGGGGUUCCUUGGUAAAGACUUCACAGUGAAAGACUGUGAAGUGUGUGUGUGUGUGAGUGUGUGUGUGUGUGUGUGUGUGUCUGUGUGUGAGACUUAGUAAUCCCGAGACACACAAACACUUCAAUCAUGUCCUGUAUCAUUCACAUGUUGGGAUGAUCGUAUAGAUGAUCUACAACUUACACUGGUCCUGCAUGAGAUUUCCCAUUUUAUGUCAAUGAUAAAGUGGCAUGUGUCUGGUGGUCAGCCUCACAGUAUGAAUGUUGACUGUUUCUAGGCUGGCAGUGUCUAGCCUUAGAGUUCUGGUGAUGCUGGGCAGAGACAAGAAGCUGUACCAUCUAUGAAGGGAGCAACUCGCUCGACAAUGUGUGCUCUGCUAAGGUGUUGCUUUGCAUCUGAUGAAUUUUCAACUGAGGAUUUCAACUUACCAUGUGCUUGGUGGACCAUAACCUCAUUGUAAACUGGGAAACCUGAUUUGGUUUAAUAAAACAUAUCAUUAGA